AAAACUAUGAGAGUUCAUCAAGUGCUACUGGGAGUGAAGAAAAUUCUUCCAACUUCUCAGAUCCUUCUGGUCCUAUUCAUGGAAGUAGUGAUAAUGAGAACGAAUUAGAAAGAAGUAGUGUUGCGUCAAACUCAUCAAUGGAUGAAAAUGAUAAUCCUGAGUGCUCCCCUCUACCUGUCUCGAAUCAGCAAGAUGGCGCCUCAUCAGUGGAUGAAAAUGAUACUCAGAUGUGUGCGGAUAAUCCUGAAUGCUCCCCUGUAUCUGUCUCAAGCCACCAAGAAAGCGUCUCAUCAAAAUCAGCAGGAAAUGAUGACUCUGUAGGGAAAGUAGCUACGGAGAUAAAGGAGAUCAAAC
rnacentral:lncRNA from 1 species